UACAGAGGGGGCGAGCGUUAUUCGGAAUUAUUGGGCGUAAAGGGCGCGUAGGCGGCUUUUCAAGUGACGGGUGAAAUCCCUCGGCUUAACCGAGGAACUGCCUGUCAGACUGGAAGGCUUGAGACCGGGAGAGGUGAGUGGAAUUCCCAGUGUAGCGGUGAAAUGCGUAGAUAUCUGGAGGAAUACCGGUAGCGAAGGCGGCAUCCUGGACCGGCAUUGACGCUGAGGAGCGAAAGCCAGGGGAGCAAACGGG
rnacentral:rRNA from 1 species